rnacentral:rRNA from 1 species
UACGUAGGGGGCUAGCGUUGUCCGGAAUCAUUGGGCGUAAAGCGCGUGUAGGCGGUCCGGUAAGUCCGCUGUGAAAGUCGGGGGCUCAACCCUCGAAUGCCGGUGGAUACUGUCGGGCUAGAGUGCGGAAGAGGCGAGUGGAAUUCCUGGUGUAGCGGUGAAAUGCGCAGAUAUCAGGAGGAACACCGAUUGCGAAGGCAGCUCGCUGGAACGUUACUGACGCUGAGACGCGAAAGCGUGGGGAGCAAACAGG